UGACGCGCCCCGGGCUGAGCCCCUCGCGUCACGUGACCGCCCGCACGUGCGAGAACAAACAGGCGGGGAGGGGGUAGCACAAGGAGGCGGAGUGAGGGACUCCCCUUCCCCCUACUGACGUGAGACAGGUGGCUCAGCCCACCGCCUAUUGGUGGCGCGACCGCGGCCCGAAACACGUGACGCGGCUUGUGCUCUCUCAUUGGGCGAGGGGCUCUGCGGGAACGCCCAAUGGGGUUAGCGUAGGGGUGCAGGCUUCCCCCAUGCGGUCCCCCCCCAGUGGUGUUCCUAAACUGGGUUGAGGUGCAGUCGGCACCUGGCGUCCCCGCAGGGCGCCCCAUGCCUGACCCGACCCGGCGGGAGCAGGCAGAGGUCCAGGCGGGGGCACCAGAAAAGCGUGGUCGCUGCUGCUCUGCGGGCAGCAAGAGGCCGCCCGAGCCCGCUCCCCUUCCCCCGGACUUCGCUGUCCCCGGGCGCCCCCGGAGCUGCGGGAUUGAGGCGGCAGCUGGUUGUGAAGCGCAGCCAUUCAAAACAACCUUUGCCUGAAUCACAAGGAACAAGUCAAAACAAUUUGGAUCCACCUUCAGCGCCUACUUCUAGUUCCUAAACAAUGUGGAAGGGUAAUUUCUUCUAGUCUCUUUGCACAACCACUACAUUCUGACAAGCUUAUGGGUAUGUAUUUUAAAGUUAAAAAAUGUAUGUUGACAUUUUCACUCCUCUCCCUGAUAGAUAACACCUCCUCUCAUAAUUUAAGUCUGUAAUUACCAAAGUUAAAAUGACGUUGCCAGAAGUAUAUUUGAGAGUUGUACAUUUCUUUUUAAACAAGACCAGAACACCAAUAUAAAAAUAAGAUUGCUGUCCUGACAGAAUCUGAAAUAGGGUUCUUCUUGCAUAUUAUGCACAUCUUGUUUUUUAAAUAAUUUUAUUCAACUCCUGCUUUCCUACUCUCUCUAUCCUACAAAAGAAAAUAGCAUUUUUUUCUGAUCCAAAUUUAGAAGCCCAGAAAAAGUUACUAAUGGGUAUUAGCAGCUUGAAGACUACAACCCUAAACAAAACCAAAAUAAUUCCUAAUGUGAGAACUUUGUGGAUAUUUAUGAAUUAUGAAUUCCUGAUCAGAGAACUAAAUUUAGCAAUUCUUAUGGAAACAUAAGAUGAAGCGUGAAAGUUCAUACUUACACCCAUACAAGCUGAAGUACCAACAAAUUCCUAUUUCCUAACAGCAGCUGAAGGGGUGUUUUGUUCCCCCCCCCCCCCCAAAAUCUAGGUCCCUCUCUCUUUUCAGGGCAUGAUUUCUCUUUCAUUUUAAGGAUUAUUUUCUCUAGCAUAAAGAUAUAAAAACUGCUCAUGUACAAAAACCUCCAAGUCCUUUAUUAAUGUUUUCAGGAUGUAUGUGAUACAUACAAUUAACAUCACACCAGCUACAGGAAGUACUGUGUUGCGAGAGAGGUACUUCAAAACAAGUAUCCCAGAGCACCAACAUGGACACGCACAGACACUACAAAAUCACUUUGAAAUGGUUCUUUUUUUAAAAAAAAAUUGAUAGCUAGGAUUUCCAAACCAUUGGAGAUUCUAAGUGUGGCAGAUCUUCUAGUGCAAUGGCACUGAUAUCAGAAAGCUACUUCAGACGCUGGAUGGUCAGAAGAACACGAACUGAAUGGGGUAAUUGGAAGUGGUGUCAUUUUCAAUGCUUUGAAACACUCAUGUCAGUCUGAGCUGACACUGGUGAGAUUCUUGAGUCUCCUACAAGAACCACUGGUCAAACCUGAAGUUACCCCUAAGCUGUGAAAUGGAAGGGGGGAGGGUGCUGUCCACCACACAUUGCAUCACUAGUUCCAAUUAGUAGGCACUGACACAUCAGGAGGGUUAAACAAAUGGGAUUGCAAAGAGUUUAAAAAGGGAUGAGCCUGAGAGAAAUCUUUGUUCAUUAU